CGUAGCCGCGGUAAUACGAAGGGUGCAAGCGUUACUCGGAAUUACUGGGCGUAAAGCGUGCGUAGGUGGUGGUUUAAGUCCGUUGUGAAAGCCCUGGGCUCAACCUGGGAAUUGCAGUGGAUACUGGGUCACUAGAGUGUGGUAGAGGAUAGUGGAAUUUCCGGUGUAGCAGUGAAAUGCGUAGAGAUCGGAAGGAACAUCUGUGGCGAAGGCGACUAUCUGGGCCAACACUGACACUGAGGCACGAAAGCGUGGGGAGCAAACAGGAUUAGAUACCCCAGUAGUCCCUGUCUCUUAUACA
rnacentral:rRNA from 1 species